CGGGAACUUCCCAAUGACGCCCUUUGCCUUCCUGCCUGGGAGCUUUCAGUCCUUAUUUUACAGCAUCUCAGCAGCUUUUACUAUGUUACAACUAGAUGAAAACUAAGAGUGAACCUUUUUACUAACUAUGCUACAACUAGAUGGAAACCAAGAGUGAACCUUUUUACUAUGUUACAACUAGAUAAAAAUCAAGAGUGAACCUUUUUACUAACUAUUCUACAACUAGAUGGAAACCAAGAGUGAACCUUUCUACUAUGUUACAACUAGAUGAAAAUCAAGAGUGACGCUUAUCAUAAAACAUUGGUGCAUGCUGGGAAAGGGGAAAAGACAGUGAAAGAAGCAGACUGUGUUUUAGAAGCAAGAGUCCUGAAGAGGAAAGGAUGUGCUUAUUGUUGGCUGCAAGGGGCUGACACGGGAUCCUGAUUCCAGCAAGAGGUUGGAGGUGGGCACUUAGAUUUCCUGGGCAAUGAGCAGUGAUCUGAUCUGGGUGAGUCAGGUAUGGAACUGGAGACCAAUAAAUGCUCGGGGCCUGACCACUUCGCACCCCUGUGCACUAAGCCAUAAUCCAAAGGAAUUGGGCAAGUUCAAGGCUCCUCUGAGGUUUUUCUCCCCAGCUUUCCCAAAACAUGCUUCCUAUCUUUUCUUCAGCCUGGGAGGAUCAUGAGGUUGAAGUCACCCUGAGUUCCAGGCAGGCUCCAGCCUCCAGACAUAAGACCCUCUGGGAGUCUUGGAAUGAGGAAAGGGGAGUCUCUGAAGGAAAACCUGAUAGAGGGGGGAGUCCAGGAAGAUGGAACUGGCCUGGGCUCCAGAUCAAUGCCUUGUCCAGGAGCGCCCAAAGUGUUUGCUAAAAAUUCAAGUUCCAGGCCAGGCAAGAGAAGUGCCAUGGAAGCCUGAGACAGGAUCUGGGGGUAUACAUUUGGCCCUCCCCAUGUGCCCUGCUUGCCCUUACCACAUAGGUCCAGGAAGAAAGCCGGAGCAUAGACCACUUGACGAAAACAAACCAAUCCCAGACUGGAAGAAGUGACUGUAUUUCAUGGUUCUUCACCCAUAAACUCCCACUCCCUCCUUCUGUUGGGUGGGUCUGAAACAAAGUGUUCAAAGGCUGAGGUGGGUGAAGGGUAGAGAUGUUUGCAGCUCUUUCCCCGCCCAGCUCAAUAUCAGAACUCGGUCAAGGGGAGGCCUGUGGCUCUUGCCAGAUCAUCUGCAUACAAUAAGCACAUAAAUCAA
ensembl:lncRNA